rnacentral:rRNA from 1 species
AGGGUUUGAUUAUGGCUCAGGAUGAACGCUGGCGGCGUGCUUAACACAUGCAAGUCGAGCGGUCUCUUCGGAGAUAGUGGCGGACGGGUGAGUAACGCGUGAGAAUCUACCUUUAGGUUCGGGACAACAGUUGGAAACGACUGCUAAUACCGAAUGUGUCGCAGGACGAAAGAUUUAUUGCCUAGAGAUGAGCUCGCGUCUGAUUAGCUAGUUGGUGUGGCACAAAUGGCGUACCAAGGCGACGAAUACCGAUAGCUGGUUCUGAGAGGAUGAUCAGCCAACACUGGGACUGAGACACGGCCCAGACUCCCUACGGGAGGCAGCAGUGGGGGAUUUUCGGCAAUGGGCGAAAGGCUGACGGAGCAACGCCCGGCGUGAGGGAGGAAGGCUCUUGGGUUGUAAACCUCUUUUCUCCAAGGAAGAUAAUGACGGUACUUGAGGAAUUCAGCAUCGGCCAACUCCGUGCCAGCAGCCGCGGUAAUACGGAGGAUGCAAGCGUUAUCCGGAAUAAUUUGGCCGUAAAGCGUUCGUAGGUGGCUUUGUAAGUCUGCUGUUAAAGCGUGUAGCUCAACUACAUAUAGGCGGUGGAAACUACAAAACUAGAGUGCGUUCGGGGCAGAGGGAAUUCCUGGUGUAGCGGUGAAAUGCGUAGAUAUCAGGAAGAACACCGGUGGCGAAGGCGCUCUGCUAGGCCGUAACUGACACUGAGGGACGAAAGCUAGGGGAGCGAAUGGGAUUAGAUACCCCCAGUAGUCCUAGCUGUAAACGAUGGAUACUAGGCGUUGUCUGUAUCGACCCGGACAGUGCCGUAGCUAACGCGUUAAGUAUCCCGCCUGGGGAGUACGCACGCAAGUGUGAAACUCAAAGGAAUUGACGGGGGCCCGCACAAGCGGUGGAGUAUGUGGUUUAAUUCGAUGCAACGCGAAGAACCUUACCAAGGCUUGACAUGUCCCGGAACUUUUGGGAAACCAGAAGGUGCCUUCGGGAACCGGAACACAGGUGGUGCAUGGCUGUCGUCAGCUCGUGUCGUGAGAUGUUGGGUUAGGCCCCCGCCAACGAGCGCAUCCCUCGUUUUUAGUUGCCAGCACUUUAGGGUGGGCCCUCCUAGAGAGAACUGCCCGGUGGACAAACCUGAGGAAGGUGGGGAUGACGCUCAAGUCAUCAUGGCCCUUACGUCUUGGGACUUACACACCGUACAUACAAAGUGCUCUAUGGACAAAGAGUAUCGCUAAGUGUGCGACAGUGCGCUAAUCUCAUAAACCAUGGCUCAGUUCAGAUCGCAGGCUGCAACUCGCCUGCAUGAAGUAGGAAUCGCUAGUAAUUGCAGGUCAGCAUACUGCAGUGAAUUCGCUCCCGGGCCUUGUACACACCGCCCGUCACACCGUGGAAGUUGGUCACGCCCGAAGUCGUUACCCUAACCGAAAGGAGGGGGAUGCCGAAGGUAGGGCUGAUGACUGGGGUGAAGUCGUAACAAGGUAACC